AGUGGCAUGUGCAGAUCCUUGGGAGAGGCAUGGCCUGCAGAAUCCAGAGACAUGUUUGGAUCAUGCUGUACCCUAUCUCAGGGCUGUGGCCUUGUGCAAGCUAUCUUGCUAUCCUUCACCUCCAUUUUCCUCAAGGAAGGCUUAAAGGGGAAAUAUUAACCAUCAUUCUUUCUAGAUGAGAGUAUCAGAGAUGGCUAAUGUGUGAUGUGUGUUCCCAGUGCCCAGCACUGUGCAAGGAACAUCCCUCUGGAUGCUAUUUCUAGGGAGAUACAUCCUUAGGCCUAUAAAUCUGCCCUCUACUCCAUCUUCCUUUGCUCACUGCUCUCCUGCCAAGCUGUCCUGAUCAUUCUAAGCUCUUUCCCACUUCCCAGUGUUUCUCUCUGCCUGGGACACUGAGUCCAGAUCUCUGCAGUGCCUCUCCCUCUCCUCUCCUCCUUUGCAUCCUUCCCUGUUCUGCACCAAUGUCAAUGUCACCUACUAGGAGAGUCUUUUUUUUUUUUCCCUUUGGCCUUGCUAGCUCUAGAUUAAGUAUUUCUCAUCUUCUGGAAUCUUUGUGCAGAGAAUGUGGCACACUUACAAAAGUAGAGAUCAGGACUUGGUUCGGUUUUCCAGGGUGGUGUGGAAGCAAAGAGGCUAAGUAACAAUAAUAACUACAUUUAUUGAGUUCUGAGGGUAACUUGUUAUGUAGCACUUCAUUUAAUCCCAAUUUCCUCAGAGUUAGGUUCUAUUAUUCCUGC
rnacentral:lncRNA from 10 species